AUGUUGCGUGAAGGUGAAGCGUCUGGGAAGGCGUACCGGAGUGGGUGAGAGUCCUGUAACUGUAAGCGUGGCACUGGUGUGGGGUUGCCCCGAGUAGCGUGGGACUCGUGGAAUUUCGCGUGAAUCUGGCGGGACCACCCGUCAAGCCUAAAUACUCCUUGGUGACCGAUAGUGGAUGAGUACCGUGAGGGAAGGGUGAAAAGUACCCCGGGAGGGGAGUGAAAGAGUUCCUGAA
rnacentral:rRNA from 1 species